AGGCCCCUCCUUCCCAACCCAGCUCCCGCUCACCCCUGCCACGUCAAAGGAGGCAGAAGGGGAGUCGGGAGCGGAGAGGGACCA
rfam:Mus musculus chromosome 2, GRC primary reference assembly.